AGAGGAAGUAAAAGUCGUAACAAGGUUUCCGUAGGUGAACCUGCGGAAGGAUCAUUAUUGAAUGAACUUGGUGUGGUUGUCGCUGGCCCUCUUGGGGGCAUGUGCACACCUACCAUCCUCAUCUCUCCACCUGUGCACCUCUUGUAGAUUUGGAAUUGAUUAUCCGAGGCAACUCGGUCGUGAGGACUGCUAGCACUUAGCCRGCUUUCUUUGCAAUUCCAGGUCUAUGUUUUUCAUAUACCCCWUUGUAUGUAACAGAAUGUAUCAUUGGGCCCUUGUGCCUAUAAACCUUAUACAACUUUCAGCAACGGAUCUCUUGGCUCUCGCAUCGAUGAAGAACGCAGCGAAAUGCGAUAAGUAAUGUGAAUUGCAGAAUUCAGUGAAUCAUCGAAUCUUUGAACGCACCUUGCGCUCCUUGGUAUUCCGAGGAGCAUGCCUGUUUGAGUGUCAUUAAAUUCUCAACCAUUAUCAACUUUUGCUGAUAAUGGCUUGGAUGUGGGGGUCUAUUUUGCUGGCUUCUCAGAUAGUCAGCUCCCCUUAAAUGCAUUAGCCGGUGCCCCGSGUGGACUGUCUAUUGGUGUGAUAAUUAUCUACGCUAUAGACAUCUGCAAUCAUAUGGGUUUGCGCUGCUUCUAACAGUCUGUUGAUUCAGACAAUACAUGACAAUUUGACCUCAAAUCAGGUAGGACUACCCGCUGAACUUAAGCAUAUCAU
rnacentral:rRNA from 1 species